UGGGUCCUACGGGACGCAGCAGUGGGGAAUAUUGCGCAAUGGGCGAAAGCCUGACGCAGCGACGCCGCGUGAGGGAUGAAGGUCUUCGGAUCGUAAACCUCUGUCAGCAGGGAAGAACGGUCACUGUGCUAAUCAGCAGUGAAUUGACGGUACCUGCAAAGGAAGCACCGGCUAACUCCGUGCCAGCAGCCGCGGUAAUACGGAGGGUGCGAGCGUUAAUCGGAAUUACUGGGCGUAAAGCGCUCGUCUGCGGUAUGUCAAGUCAAGGGUGAAAUCUCCGCGCUCAACGUGGGAACUGCCUUUGA
rnacentral:rRNA from 1 species